rnacentral:rRNA from 1 species
UACAGAGGUCUCAAGCGUUGUUCGGAUUCAUUGGGCGUAAAGGGUGCGUAGGCGGCGCGGUAAGUCGGGUGUGAAAUUUCGGAGCUUAACUCCGAAACUGCAUUCGAUACUGCGGUGCUUGAGGACUGGAGAGGAGACUGGAAUUUACGGUGUAGCAGUGAAAUGCGUAGAGAUCGUAAGGAAGACCAGUGGCGAAGGCGGGUCUCUGGACAGUUCCUGACACUGAGGCACGAAGGCCAGGGGAGCAAACGGG